UGAACGUGGACUUUUAGUUUGUGAGAUGGCGAUUAACGGAUAGAUUAAUGGAUUUAUAAUAAAUGAAAUUUAAUAUAAUGCAAAACUAUAAACUUUAAACUAUGACUUUCUUAAAAAAAUGUGGUGUGGAAGUGUUUUACAUGUUCUCAGAGUUUAAAAAAAAAUCCUAGAGUCAAAAUGUAUAGCACGGAAUAUUUUACAAAGAAUACGACUCGAUUUUCAACUACCGAAAAUCGAGGCCAAAUGACUCCAAAUGACCCAAAUAGAGGAAGUGGGUCCUUCGG